rnacentral:lncRNA from 1 species
GAGACACCAGGAAGAGGCAGAGUCGCUUAGCAGGAUCUUCAUUCUUGCCCUGCUCUCCCGGCCUGGCACCCUCCCACUGAGGACGGGAGAUGGCUCUGGGGAAAUUCCAUUCCAUAAUUCAUUUAAGCAGGAUAAACAGAGCUCCUGCUCUGGAAGAUCCAGCCCUGAGCAAAAGGCACUUGGAAUCGACAUGGGGGGCUCGAAUGUCCCUGUGAAACAUAAACAUAAGGAGGCAGGAGACAUGAGAUGCAGCCGGCUCUGACCCCAAAGAGCCAUGGGACCUGACCACCUGGGAGGAGCUGGAGGACAAAGGACUUCACAGAAGAAUGGAGUCCCAAAGAAACAGCUUCAGGAACUGAGGAGAGCCAGAAAUUUAAUGUAUUUAGGGCUCCCUUGUGAAAACACAAAAACAAAAAUAAAAAUGCCUCCCGCUGCCUCGACAUCUCUA